GACGAACGUUGGCGGCGUGCUUAAUACAUGCAAGUCAACUGAAGCAGUGGUAGCAAUAUCGCUGUGGAGGUGGCGCACGGGUGAGUAACACGUAGGUAAUCUGCCUUCAGGUCUGGCAUAACUCCGGGAAACCGGGGCUAAUAGCAGAUGAUGCAGCGGCUCGACAUCGAGACAGUUGUUAAAGCUAUGGCGCCUGAAGAUGAGCCUGCGUCUGAUUAGCUAGUUGGCGGGGUAACGGCCCACCAAGGCAACGAUCAGUAGCUGGUCUGAGAGGAUGAUCAGACACACUGGAACUGAGACACGGUCCAGACUCCUACGGGAGGCAACAGUAAGGAAUAAUGCCCAAUGGGAGAAAUCCUGAAGCAGCAACGCCGCGUGAGGGACGAAGGGCUUUUGCUUGUAAACCUCUGUAGUGAGAGAAAAAAAUCCCAAUCUUUGGGACAUGAUGGUAUCUCAAAAGUAAGCCCCGGCUAACUACGUG
rnacentral:rRNA from 1 species